GACUUCCAUGAAAAUACUUCAACCAAGACCCAGCCUGCCUGCCUGGCCCUGCCCUGAGCUCCUCUGGAAGGAAGUGUCGAUGCAGAUCACCUGAGACACACAGUGGUGUGUGAGCACACAGGUGGAAGGAGCCCAGAGGCUGAAGGCCCAGGUUUGUUGAUACACCUCUGUCCAAUGCUGCUCUGUGACCCUGGGCAAGUCCCCUAACCUCUCAGAACCAUGGUGUUCCCCAUCUAUGAAAAGAGGGAUAAUAAGAUCUAGGUGAUU
rnacentral:lncRNA from 1 species